UACAGUAAUUUGAGUGAUAUCAACAAGAAUUAAUAUCAAUUCUAAUAAUUGAUAUCUUUAUCACCUUUACAGUUUUUUUUAGUUUUGGGUAAUCCUUCAUAACCUUAAAUCUAACAAAGAGAACUAUUCAGACAUAGCAAAGUGGAACAUAGCAAUAGCCUGAAUAAAAUGGAGUUCCAACACAAGGUAAAGAAAUCAAUGGAGUUUCAAUACAAAGUUUUAUGGAGUCUUGGAUCUUCUCUCCAAAUCUACUGAAAAUCCUAAAACUGUUUGCUAUGAAAAAUAGAAAAUAAUAAAGCGUAUGUUGCCUAAUACAAUGGUAGAUUACAUAAUAUUAGGUGAAAGUCGGCCAGGGCAGUCUUCUAAUUGUGUGGAUCUUAAGUCGGCCUUGAAAAAAUCAGCCUGUCUAUGCACGUCGCUGUCGAUUAACGACAAGAGAUGUUUGUCGAUCGACACUCUAUCCAUCCAAAUAUUGACUUUGGAUGGUUUCUGAACAGCUACGAGUGUCUUCUAUCUCUAGCUCCAAAAUGCUCCAUAAUCACCACAUUAUUUUAAAACGUACCUAGACUUGUAAAGACUCUAAAAAGACUCCAAAACAUAAUAAAUAUAUUCUAAAACAAUUAUAUACCUUAACUAAAAACUGGUAAAAUUCGUGGUAUAUGAGAGAUGCUAUUUGAGAGAACUGUCCUUUCCUAAACCAAAAUAUAGUCCCAUAAUCGGGUCCUUAAUUAGGCCACUGCACCCGAGUUGGACAAAAUAUUUUGUGACGAUUUUAACCCUACACCUCUAAUCUUGACCCUAUCCGUAGUGGUGUCAGUAGGCUCUGCUACUGUCUGAUAUACACGCCCUGACUCAACCAAUCAAACUCUCAUAGUUCUAUCUUUUUCUCAUCGAUGGGAGACCCUAAUCUUCCUCCUUGUAUAUUUUCUCCCAAUAAAGAACCCUCCGGCGAGAGGGUUAACUCGUACCAUAGGAUUAAAGACGACAGAGUCCAUCUUUGAAGCACUUGAUUCAGAAGAGCUUGUUUUUCUGAGGAAUUUAACCUUUGCAAAGGUUUUAAUCCUAGAUGAUAAUCCUCCUUUUUUCGAUGCCUUUGGCAAUUUUCGUACUUGUGAGGAGGUUGAAGACAAACAAGACGUACAAAAUCUGGAUUUUGUUUGCUUGGAAGCCUAAUCGAUUUUCACUGAGUUAGUUUGAACUGUGGGGAACUUCCUAAUUCCAGGCAUAGGAAGAGAAAAUAAAUCUCGAAUGAGAAACUUUACUGAAAUGAAUUAUUUGGGUCUUUAAAGUCUUGCACCAUUGAAAUUGUGUAGACAUCCUGAAGAAUCACAAGGUUAAGGACAUGGCGACGAGGAUUAAGUUUGCCUGUCUAUCAAUCACGUCAGUUGUACUUCGCCCAUCAUCUCACUUUCCGAAGAUCAUUCCCGAACAUGUGGAGCUCAUCUGUGAUCUAGAUGAGUUUAUGGCAUACCCAUUGAGAAGGGUGAAAUUGUUCUAGCUCAGGAUUUGUUUGCUCUUAGAGGAUAUGUCGAUCCAAUCCAACUUGUUAUGAUGUUGUUGUAGUUACUUUGGAGGAAAAGGUUAACCUAAACGAAACCGGUCGUUGUGGCUGAAUCUUAUAGUGAAACAGAGGUGUCAGUGGGUGAAGAUGGAGCUUUGUCAGAUGAAUCAGCGUGCUCUGAAAAACCAUUUCAACUGCCAAAUUUGUGAUUAAACCUUGGCAUUCUGGAGACUUAGACGUCGAAUACAAGGUCUAUGUUCGAUCUAUUCUUUAUGAUCCACAUGAGGAGUUGUUCUUGGAGAUGAUUUUUCAUGGUCAGAUGAAAAUGAAGACCCGACAGUAGAAACAUUGGUUCGUCUUAUAAGUGAAGGAUUUGUAUUCAAGAUGGAGAUGUUUAAAGGUGGGCUCACAGCGGCCGAUAUUGUACGAAUGUGUGCAGAGAAGCAAAGGGAGAAGGAGACGAAAGAGAAGCAUGACAAAGAAAAUGCCGCAUAGUCAACCGAGGGUGAAUCUUCAGACCAUGUCUCUCAUAUUUCAAUUGCCAAUCUCGUUGCUACGCAGAUUAAGGAAGAAAUUGGAGGUCUAGAGUCUCGAAUUGUUAGUGGAUGAUAAGAUCAUGGUCAUACUUGCUGAGACAGGGCAGAGUUAGAUAGAGGGUAAAACGAGAACUACAGGUCUUGUUGCAGAGAAGGUGGGAUCCGUUCAAAGUGGCUAAGAUGUAGAAAGAAGAAGUGAAGACUCUGGUGGAGCGAGAAUCACUAGUAGUACUAAGUAUUUUAAUUAAAGUGUUGUCGUUUUGCAUUUCAUUAAGUGUCGGAAACCUUAGUGUGCAAAAAUAUAAUUAGAAAUCUGAUCAGCUUUUAUUUCCUUGUCAUCUUCGAUUGACAUCUUUCCAAUCCCAAUUUCAUCUUGUGAUAAUCUGAGUUUAUCAUUUUGGUAUCAGAGCUCAUGGAUCCUCUUGACCUUGAGCAACUUUUGUUACUACCCCGAGAAGCUUUCCGCGAAGUGAUGAAGACAAAAUCAGACGAGGAAGUGACGGCCUUCAACUGGAUAAUGGGUGAACGCUUGCGACAAUCUCUGGAGAAAUGCGAGCUCGAGCUGGAGCGUAGUGAGAGGUUGAGGACAAAAGCCUUAGAGCUUUCGCUAGUAAGAAAACAAGAAACCCCUACCAGAAGAUUCGUCGAACCGGCGGAAGACCAGAAACUACCUGUUGUGAGAAAACACAUCGAAGAUCCUCAACAGAUCGAAGGUUUGAAGAACCCUAAGAAGAAAUCGAUGGAGGAAAUGGGAUUUUCACUACCAAUUGUUGUUUCUUAUGAUCUUGAACCUUCCGAGACACCCAUCUCACGCCGCUGUUACCUUUACGCUAUGGACGGUUUAGGAAACGAGGGAAAAGGCGUAAGAUCUAGAGGAUGGGUUUCAGUUUCGAGGGAGAGUGGAGAUGCUGAAGACUCGAUCUGAACACUUGACGUGGGUAACACACAUGGUGGAAAUGAAGAAACGAGGCUCGUCUGUGAAGAGGAAGAAACGAAGUGAACUCGAGCAAUCCCCUACGGUCUAUGGUUUUAAGGGAAACUCCAUGAAGGGAGAUCUUGCACAACCUGCAACUCUGCGCAAGACAACAAGAUCAUUGGACAGGACUGAGACCCCUAGAAACAAGGAUAAAUGCUUGUUGGAUGAUCCAACAUAUGAUCUAGCUUAUGAAACUGGCAAGAGUACUGCAAAAGUGACUGAGUACAAGCGUCGUUUGAAGCUUCCGAGGGAGUUAUGACGGGGCGGUCAUAGGGCGAGAACAGUGAAGCACAUGUACUCCGGGAUAACUCAAGAGGGUUCUGUUCAUGAUUACAUAAGCAGUUUCAAGGCUCUAAGUGAAGACUGUAAAGAUCUUCCUGAGAAAUACCUAAUGAGUGUUUUUGUUAGAGUGCUGAAGCAACCGUUGCAGGACAAGGUCAGGCUUUUACAACUCUGUAAGCUGGUAAUUGCUAUGGACUUGGCCUUAUAGCUUGAGAAUGGAAGCAUGAGUCUGCGUACUUUACCAAUGACAGAAGCAUCCACACACCACAUGAAACUUAGAGAUCCAACCGAGGAUCCGAGUCAGAGUGAGAAGCGUGGCAAUGGAGUGUUAAUGGAGGGUCAAGUAAGGAGAUCCCCAACGAAUAGAAGGAGGUUCAGGGAUACCCCAGUGGCAACGCCUCUUAUAAUGGAGAAGAGACAUGAUAGGUGGAAUCUUCCUGUUACCAAGGCUGAGAUGAGUUAUUGGAUAGACUGUCUUGAGAAGCACUGGCAGGAACACCACAUAUGUGAGGAUCAUAAGUUACCUUCGGUUCAGCAGAGUCUACAUGGCUCUUUUGGCGGUUGGAUCAAGGAGUUAAUGGAGGCAAAGGCUCCAAAUAACUGGGAAGAGCUCAAGAGAAUGAUCCUGUGAGAGCCGAGUGAGGAGCUUAAUUUACUAAAAGCGAGUGGAGCUAGGAUGGUAGAAGGACAAAGAUCAGCUUUAAAGAAGAAACAAGAGGUGACAUGAGAAGAUUCACUGUUAUAAAUGGGUUUAAGAGCUCAACGAGAAGGCUCUGUUUCUAAUUAUAGGAAGAGAUUUGAAGCUGUAUGUCUUAAGGCUUCAAACUUACCGUGGCAACACCUAGAAGAGUGGUUCUUACAAGGCUUAAAACCCAAGAUACGAGAGGCAGUUCAUCAAUUGAGACCUGACGGUAUUGUGCAAAUGAUGGAUUUAGCAGUGUGGAUAGAAGGAAACCCAGGGAACAAUGGCGAAGUAGGCUCCAGAGGACUCUCUAGGACGUCCUUGUCAACAUCAAUAAGUUUCAGCUGUUUGAAAAGGGAAAGAGAAGAUUUGAUAACCAAGAAGGGGCACUUAGGGUCUGUUGAUCAACGGAGUGAGAAUCCUUAUGAUGAUAUGAUAUUACAAGUUAAAGGUCUGGUAGAGAACCGAGAGGUUAACAUCGAAAUAGAUUCAGGUGCUACUCAUAGCUUCAUUUCUAAGAAUUUGGUAAUUGAAUCUAAUCUUACUCACAGUGGGAAGCCGACAGAGAUUAUCUUAGGACAUGGAGACAAAGGUUUGGGAAGGUGCGAAACAGUAGCCAUUACUAUACUAGGCUUUGAAUUCAAGGAAGACUUGCGGGUGAUUGACCAGAGUGACGGUGAUGUGGUUUUGGGGUAUAGUUGGUUGGCUACUCUAGGAGAGACUGCUGUAAACUGGCAGGAACAUACAAUGUCCUUCCUGAUUGAGAAUGAAUGGAUUACCAUAAUUGCGACAGGAAGUGAGGCUGAGCAAAAUUCUGCAACUAGGUGGUCAGAUAGUAGUUGUUAACACAUGUCAAAGAACCAUACCAAGUGGACAACACCUCGUGGUAAUUUUGUGGUACCAUACAGUAACCAAAGAUAAAAACAUGAAGAUGCAAGCGCCAAGAAGGGAUUUUUGUGUAGUUGUUAGCAAAUCAUGGUGUGGCAUUAAUAGAGAGGAUUUAUAUGACACACGAAUUAGGCUGAAAGAUCCAAGGGAUAUUGAUCACCAAGACUCCAAAAGGACAGUAUAAGUGUUUCAGAAGGAGACACUAAACAGGAACACAAGUGGAUUAAAGAGAGACAAACUGAAGGGACUUGUGAGAGGACGCCAAACAACAAUCGUCACAAACCGCUGGGAAAUGGGGGCACGACCCGAGAGCAAGGGAUGAGUGCAGUACGAGAGCCUCACAGCUCAGUUGAGAAUAAGUAUAUGGAGACAAGAACUAAGAGUGAAUGGGUGAAUGGUCUCGGUGCAAAGGAGCCAAGUAUUGGAGUUAAGAAGCGGACUGAAGAAUUAACAUCACGGAAGUGGCUAAAUGACGAUCAAGAGAAAAUGCAGCUCAAGUUAGGAAGGGAAGUUCAGAGGGAGAACAUGUCGACCGUAAACAAGAAUGUGGGGAAACACUUCGCUGAAGCACGUGAGGCACAUGAAAAGGGUUUUCAAGGGUCGGAUGAGAUGGCUGUUGGGAAAAUGUGUGAUGGUCUCAUGUUGCACUUCAUUAUCAUUUUUUUUAUGGCGAGGAAUACAAUAAGAAUAUGAGCGAGGAGUUCAUGUCGGAAGAUGAUGAUCAUAAGGAAUUUCAAACAGCAUUACAGUCGCUCACUGGCUGGACGGAUCAGACGUACGUGGUGAAGUCGGGUUUGCAACUUGAGGACAAGUUGGAUGCUUAUGGGGGGAGUAAUGAUAAGAUCAUGAUCAUACUUGCUGAGACAGGGCAGAGUUACAGAGAGGGUAAGAAGAUAACUACAGGUCUUGUUGCAGAGAAGGUGGGAUCCGUUCAAAGUGGCUAAGAUGUACAAAAAAGAAGUGAACACUCUGGUGGAGCGAGAGUCUCUAGUAGUACUAAGUAUUUUAAUUAAAGUGUUUUCGUUUUGUAUUUCAUUAUGUCUUUAAGUAUCAGAAACCUUAGUGUGGAAAAGUUAUCAAAAACAUAAUUAAAAAAUCAAAUCAGAGAAAUCUGAUCAGCUUUCAUUCC